GGGGUUGUGGCUCAGUGGUAGGGUGCUUGCCUAGCAUGUGCAAGAGUCUGGGUUCAAUCCUCAGCACCACA
rnacentral:tRNA from 1 species